rnacentral:lncRNA from 1 species
GGAGAUAUACUAGCUAAGAACCUGUGCCUAUAACAUAGAACGCUAGACCCCAUAUGGGACAUCAGUAUAAAGUAAUGCACUGAAUAUGUAUGGCAUGAGAUAACCAUAAGUGAAAUAAAAGAUCAAUGAAAUUAGGGAUCAAUAUAUAAAUAUAUAGAUAAGGAUGAACGACCACCUUUACUUACACUUGUGGAAAAUUGUACAUUACAUGCUUUUCUUUACUUUAUUAGUUUUUGCUUUAUAAUCUUUGUAAGCCAUGUGAUAUAUAUGAUCAGAUGAUCAGAGGUAAAAUAGGAUGAGCCAUGCUAGGCAUUAUACCCCUGGGGUACGUUCCUCAUUAAUACACAAAUCGGGAUUGACCCAUGCUAGGCUUUCCUUUCACCCCUAGGAUACCACCUGAUAAUGGGAUCAACCAAUGCUAGGUGUUUAUUCCACCCCUGGGAUACCACCCAUAAAUGUAUGUAUUGUGAUUAGCACAUGCUAGGCUUUAGCCCCUGAGCUACCACCUACAUAUAAACAUAUUCACGUUACUUCAUUUCUUAUGUUUGAGAUUGUUAUUUUGGUGGCCAUAAUAUUAUUAAGCUUUGGAACUAUAGACCGGUACUAAGAAAUAUGUGAAUAUGCACUUGAGACAAUAACAAUGAAGUAGCAAGCAUUUUUAAUUGUAAUAGAAAUGUAAUACUUUGGAGCUUAAAUGACACAAUCAGUACUUUGACAUCUCAAAUGAAACAUAGGUGCAAUUCGAGUGAAGGUAUCUAAUUUAAUCUAAGAGAUAGGUUUUCUAGAUAGUGAUGUAAAUAAAUACUUAGUAAACAGUGUCAAAUGAAAGGUACAUGAACAUGAGAACUACUGGAGCGUGUGGAGAAAUUUGACUUAGGUAUAAAUAUAUAUUACAUGUAAGGAGAUGCAAACUAUAGAAUGGAAUGAAUAGGGAUUCUAUGAGGUAACAUUAUAGACUACGGCAAUGGGAAUGAUGCCCAAUGAAGGGGAUAUGUAAAUGUGUGAGAAAAUAAAGUAUAUUAUUAAAUAGACAAUUGAAGCAAGUUGGUAGUAAAUGGGCAGAUUGCAUACCUAACACAUGAGCACACUUACCAUGUGUAAUCUAGGGUCUUAUUUAUAUGUAAAAGAGGAACACAAGUUUGACUGGAAAGUGUAAAUACACAAAUCUAGUAAUAAACACAUAUUUGAAAUGCUUUUGACACGUUUGUGAGAUCAUAGGGAGUAGGAACAAGGUCAUUACUAAUGCUAAAAAUCAUACAUCAUUUCCAUAUAUCCUUUACUAGUGAGAACUCUUAGGAAGCUCACUUUGUUGGUACUAACACUACUAUUAGAUUUCAUGCCAAAGAAGAUGAAAAAGAAUAGCCUUACAUACCUUAUCUUUCGACCAAUGUGACUACGACAAUUCAAUUUUUUCUUUUAAGUGUUACUCUACAAUACAAGGACAUAAUGAAGCUAAUAUUAGAACCUACUCACAUUAUCAUCCUACAAAAAUAGUAGCUAAAUACUUGACGGGCAGUAAGACCAUCCAAACCCCUAAACACAUGGUGUAUCACCAUACCCUUCUUUUGUAAUUCAAUGGAAGCUCCAUUCAACCAUUGUAUAAGGUGACUCACUUCCUCAAAAAAGAAAUACAGAUAAAACAACCUAUAUAUAGUCAUAAAAUCCAUAAACCACCAGAACAACCCCUCAUGUUUGCACCUUUAUUUCUACCCCGUACUAACAUUAACCAAUCUUUUUUAAUGCCAAACAUGAUUUCCUAACUUUUCAAUACAAUAAUACAGGUCUAACAUCACAAUAUAGUUAGAAAAGUUGAGCUCACUAUUUCAAUUACCAUCCCAUGAGUUUCAAUAUACAAGUAUGUCUAGAAUGAGCAAAUGAGCUAAUAAUUAAAAGUUGGGGAAACACCUUACCUUAGAUAUCUUAAUAUGUUAUUUUCCCCCAAUUACUAUCUUUGUGACCUAAUCUAAGUCACAACAUAGGAAAGGAACAUUAGACCAACAACCCAAGCUUAUGACAUAAAAUUCUUACCUUAAUCUUUAAAAGAUAGUGGCAGCACCCUUGCUGCCAAUGCCAAUAUAUUCACUCCCCUUGAAUAACUUUCUAAUAUAUUCGAAACUAAGGAGAAGAAAAGGUGAUCUUAUGGGCUGCUUUACAGAAAAUAUUUUGAAGAACACUUAGAACCCUAAUGAAAAAUACGAAGGUUGUUUUAAGGAUAGAAGAUAGAGAUUUAAAGACUUGAGAGGAAUUGAAUUUGAUGAGAAAAAUAAGACUUUAUUGAUAAUUUUUUGAUCUUUAAAGGCCUCACUUUUCUGGCUCAUUCUCCUCUUUAUUUCCAGCCACCAUUUAGCUCUAAUUUGGACCAUAAUUGCUAAAUAGGUGAUGCACCUACUUUGGCCAUUCAAUAUGGUCAAAAGUCCAAGUGGCUGAUGCACCUACUGGGACAUUUUUAAGUAACUCUUUGUGGUCUUGGAGAGAUUGGGCCUUGGGAUACCAUUCUCUUUAUUUUCUUUUAGUUAAUUUGGGCCUCAAAUAAGUCCAUUAAUAUAGGCUUCAAUUUGGUCAAUUAGUCUAAGUAUGUGAUACAUCUACUUGUCACCUACUAUCUUAAUUAAGUCUAGCAAGAACCUCAUUUAUUUAAUCCUAUAUUUUCUAUAUCUUAAUCCCUCUACUCUAACUUAACACCUAACUCCUAUUUUAAGCUUAUAUACCUCCUUACAAUCUCAAGUUUAAAUAUUUUGUCAGUGAUAAGUUGGUUGUGUAUGUUUGGAAAUAUACAAGGUAUUACAGACAAGUACCAAUGGCAAACCACUACAGCAGUUGACUCUACUACUUUAAGCAAUGGAAAAAGAGAUAGUUGAAGUUUAUGCUUUUGUGCUUUAUACCAUUUUCUUAUCAUAUUUAUGAUUCAUGUUCAACUUGUAUCAAUAGCCACCGCAAAAGAGGAGAUGAGGCAUGAUAUUAAGAAAAUUUGCCCUGGAAUAUCUCUCUGUCAUUGGGACUCAUACAGAAUGUAAUGUUGUUUUUUCACAAUAGAACAAAAAAUGGUUGGUAUUGCUAUACACGCUUCUCUUCUGAUACUGCAUCCCUCUUCUCUUAGAUUAAUACAAGUAAGGAUUAUACUUUUUUCCUCCUACUUCUGCUUCCCUUAGUUAGAUGAUAAAUAAUUAUUUUACUUUCUAUUUCAAGACCUUGAUACCGGUAACAUUGGACCCCAUGUAUGUUGUGGAGAGAGAUACCUAAUUAAAUAAUUGUCCUCUUCAUAAAAUAAACAAACCUGACAUUUUUAGCUUCGUCUUUCACCCUUUUAAGGCCUGACAUAAGAAUGUGUAAAAUUUAAAAUGUUAUAUAUUUGCUUAAUUCUAUUAGGCGGUUUCUCUAUUCGUGCGAUAGUAACAAUAAGUAUACCCUUCUUAUAUAACUAUGUUAAUAAUUAAAUCUAUAGAUUCAAAUAUGCACAUCCAUAUGUUAUAUCUUUUUGGUCUGAAUCUUUUGAUAUCCAUUGUUGGAUUUAUUUGGACGAGGGCCAUGCGCUUCUUGAUGUUUGUAUGUAAGUUUGUGCUUUUGGAGUCUAUUUAUCUGAUGAAUUUCUUUGUUAUAUUCUAUUCAUAAUCACAUGAAAAGAUAUCCUAUCUAUGUUAAUUCUUUUGCACUAGGAUGCAAAUUGUCUGCCACUUUGGCUUUUGUUUUCAUAUGCUACUAACUAUACAAGUUUCUUUAUCUAUUUUUAAGUUAAAAAUUAUAGUUGGUUUGGAUUAAUAAGGUGGUCAACAGUGGAGCGAAAGUAACAGAGAUGGUUAGUUCAGAGGCCCUAUAAGGAUAAAAAAAUAAGAUAAAACUAGCUACUUUAAUCCUCAGUGUCCCUCCUGAACAAGGUUGUUCCUUCACCUUUCUUCACUUUUGCCUUUAUUGGAUGAAGAAAAUAUUUUUGUAUCUCUGUACUAUCAUGCUAGAGUUUGUGCUUUUGCUAGUGUGUAUUGUCAUCAUGUGUCUUGUUUGUGAUCUUGCAAUUCGAGUACUAAUUUGGUUGGAAUAAAAAGAACUCUAGAUUCAAGAGUUGUCAACUUUUUGAACUAGAAUUUGUAGAUUUUCCUUACCACCUUCGCUCAAUAAAAGACAGACGCAUGAUUUUUGACACGAUGCAAGACUGUGAGCAUGAAUGGUAAAGAUGCAAGUAUUUGAUUAUAUUAGGGAAUCUUUUGGAUAACUUAAAGAUCACAAACAAGGAACCUUUGAAAGGUUUUUAUCAACUUAUGUGUUGUUUACUAAGCUUGUAUAUAUAAGUUGUUACUAUUGAAAACUUACCAUGGUGUUAUGUAUGGGUAGGCUUUAUGGGAUGUUUCAAGAAAAAUACCAACAUACAUGUAAAAUUCUAUUAAAAUACUAAUUAGUGUCCUUUUUGAUUUAUGAAUCUUGAUUAGAAAAAAGCCUUCUGAUUUUGGGUUCUUCUUCAUAAAGGUUAUAUGGUAUCACAAAUUAUUAGAUUCAUCAUUGGUAGAGUUGAGAAGGCAGAAGGUAUUAUUUUUUUUCAUUAUCAAUUGUUUGAGGUUAUAGUUUGAUUUUGAUGAACAUGCUUAGUUGAUAACUAUAGAAUAUAUUUGAAAAUUUCCUAGCUUUAAAUUUACUUUUGUCUUUUGUUAAAGAGCCAUGUUUACCUACUCAAGCUUAGGUGAUUUAAGUCUUUUUUUAAUUCUUCUUAGAGUACAUGAAAUUUUGAGAUGUGAUGCAUUCUACAAUGACUUGGUGUUGAAAGAUGAUAUAGAGUAGUACAUAUUUAGCUUUAAUUCUCUUUUGUAUCAUUAGCGUGACAUUUAUUUGUUACAACAACAAGAUUUAUUCAACUCUCAUGAGGGGCCAUGUAAAUCAUGAUAUCCGCACCUAUUAGCAUAUCUUUUGUAGCUUGUCUAUCGUAAAUCUUGUGCCUAAAUCAGUGCAACUAAAUGAUAAAUUUAGGGGCAUGAGGCAUCAAUUUGUGAUUGAUUAAUCUUUGCUAUUAAAAAACAUAUUAUUUUAGCACCAGGUAUAUACCUUGAAGGUAUAUAGAGGAAAGAGAAAAAUGAUACAAGCUGCUGAAGAGAAUGAAAGACCAGAGGAGUUCGAUAUAUUUUGGGGCUAGAAGCGGGCCUAAUGUUGGAAUUAGGAAAAAAUAUUAGGUAUAAAAGAGUAAAUUUUGAUAUUACAGUUUUGUUGAUAUUCACCAGAUGAAUCAUUGUGUUGUCUUUGUGUGUUUCUUGAAGAAUUUGUUUUCACUGGAUUAGACGUUAAUUUCCUCAUUCCACUCUAUUGUUUAGUUUGUUAUACUUUGAUAAAAGUAGUGAAAGCUGAAAAAUGAGGCAAUAUCCCAAAUUGGUAUAUCUAACAUGCAAACAUGAAAGAUGUUCAAAAUUUGCAACAUCGAGCACACAUGAGACAGACUAUAUGUGCAGCUAUAUAUUAAUUAUCCAUCACCACCAAAGAAUUCAUUUUGAAAAAACUCUAAUCUAAAACUUCCUCACUAAAUCACACUUCUCUUGCUCUAAAAGUGUACUUUAAAUAAAGGUACUCUCUAAAAGUAUACUUUAAUUCAGGGUAAAAGAAGUGAUAAAUAAAAAUAAGAGAAAGUAAUAAAUGAAUGUAAUGAUCCCUCAAUUGCUGAAGAAGCUUACUAGAGAAAGAGAGAUGAUGAAGACAUUAACAAUAUUAUCCAAGCUAACAUGCAAUGCAAAAAUGAACAUUCAAAUCCAAGCUUUAUUGAAGAAAGUGAUAAUAUAUAAAAACUUAAAUUUUGAGGAUGCAUACACAUAAACAUUUAUUUAACAAAUAUUAAUCAAAAUAUACUUCAAAGCUUCCCUAAUUUUGAGAUUGAAAUCUCUAACUAGAAUAAGGAAGUGUUUGGUAACAUCUUUAUAAAGAAGAAACACAUCCGUGCCAGACUUGAGGGGAUCAAAAAGUCCUCACACUAUCCCCACAGUCUCUUUCUUUAGACCCUUGAGUCUCAACUCUUAAAAGAGUUCAGUGAGAUCGUCUAACAAGAACAAGAAUUCUAAAGAAUCAAAUCUAGGAUAAACUGGUUGGCUGAGGGAGACUCCAAUACCAGGUUCUUUCAUACCUCUACCCUCAAUAAGAGGAGGAAGAACAACAUAUCUGCUCUUAAAGAUGAUAAUGGGAAUUGGAGCUAUUCCCAAGAGGAAAUCAGUUCUGAGAUCCUUUGAUUCUACUCUAAUCUCUUCUUCUUUGAUCACUACAGCAACCCCAUUAGAUGCCAACACAACCCCUCCUCCAAGGGAUCUAUCAGAACUGAGGACCACCAUCUUCUUGAUUUUAUUUCUUCACCCAUUGAGAUUAGGAAGGCUGUCUUCUCCUUCAAACCCACCAAGGCCCCAAGUCCAUAUGGCCUACACCCACUCUUCUACCAAAAAUUCUGGGACAUCCUGGGUCCCCCCACCAUCCAAUUAUGUAUUAAAACUUUCUAUUACAUGAAAAUAGAGAGCAAAGUCAACUCCACCUAUCUCUGCCUCAUUCCUAAAUGCUCCAAUGCCACUAGCUUGAGAAACUUUAGACCCAUUGGCAUUUUCAACACUUAGUACAAGAUAGUUACUAAAAUUAUAGCUACUAGACUCAAACCUUUCCUGGCCAACAUCAUUGCUCCUACUCAGUCUAGCUUCCUACCAAAUAGAAGGACCUCUAACAAUGCCAUCAUCAUCCAGAAGGAUAUCUCUCACUUCAAGAAAAUGAAAGGUAAAAGGGCCAACUUGAUCCUCAAGAUUGACCUUGAGAAGCUUUUGAUAGAAUUAAAUAGUCCUUUGUGAGACAAGCCCUCGACUUUUUCAAUAUUUCCCCCCCCCCCCCCCCAAAUACCCCCCCCCCCCCCCCAGGCUUACUAAUCUCAUCAUGUCUUGCAUUUCCUUCUUCUCUAUCUCCAUUCUAAUAAAUGUGAACAAAACUGAGCCUUUCAAUCCAACCAGGGGGAUAAGGCAGGGGGAUCCUCUUUCUCCUUACAUCUUCAUCAUGUGCAUGGAGUUACUGUCCAGGAGAAUUGAUCAUGAGGUGGAUAUCCUCAAUUGGAAACCCAUAGCUAUUAGCAAAAGAGGCCUAAAAAUCUCUCACCUCUUUUUUGCUGAUAAUCUUACCCUAUUUGCUAAAGCUAAUAAGGUAAAUUGCUGGACCAUCAAGAACACCUUCCAAAGCUUCAGCCAACAUUCUGGACAAAAGAUCAACCACCUCAAAUCCAAAUUCCUUUUCUCCCAAAAUAGCAACCAGAGAGAUAGAACCACCUUCUCUUCUAUCCUUAAUAUUGAGGCUAAAGAUAACUUUGGGAUACCCGAGCUUCCUCAUCUUCACUCAAAAGCCAUGUACCAAUGAUUUCCAAUUCAUUGUAGACAAUCUAAAUUCUAAGUUGGCUAGUUAGAAGACGAAUUUCCUCAACCUAGCAAGCAGAACCAUCCUCACAAAAUCCUCUCUGAGUAGCAUUCCUACCCAUGUCAUGUAAUACAUCUCCUUCCCUUCUAACAUCCACAAAUCCAUUGACCAAAUUCAAAGAAACUUUGUCUGGGGAUCAACUGUAGAGAAGAAGAAAACCCACCUUCUGAACUAGGACACCAUUACCACCCCUAAGGAUAAAGGGGGCCUAGGUCUCCAAAAGUCCAACAUCAGGAAUGAUACAGUAUUGGCCAGUCUAGCAUGGAGGCUCAAUAAAAACCCUCAGACCCUUUGGGCAAACAUUCUCUUUAGAAAAUACUACCAGGAUAGUAGAUGUCUAUCCAGCAAAAGUACCUACAGCAUGCUAGCAGGUACUUUUGAGAGUGACAACAGAACCAACUCCAUCAGUCUCAAGUGGAUCUGGAAAACAAGAAUCCCCCCUAAAAUUAAAACCUUCCUCUGGCUUAUAUACCAUAACAGACUUCCAAUAAGCCACACCCUUGCCAAGAUGAAAAUAAAAAAAUCCUCUAAUUGCAAAAGCUGCAAUUACCACACUGAAGAUAUUGACUAUAUCUUUCAUGAAUGCCCAAAGGUCCACUAUUACUGUAAAGCUGUCAUUGAUAAAAGUAUAUCUAAAAACCAGCUUAACCAAUAUCUUUUUCAUCCCUCUAACUGGGGUAAAACUUGGAAAUCUCUCCACCAUACUCCUUAUGACAAGAUCUUGGAUUGGUAGGACCUUCUACCCUUUUGACUUUGGUCGAUUUGGAGGAAUAGAAACCAAGAUACUUUCAACAACUCCAACAUCACCCGUAAUAUCUCUAACACUUACUUUGAAGCUGUGGAGUACAAAAUGACCAUAAUAAAUAAUAAUACCCUUGCUUAAUUCAAAUUCAUCAAUGUUAGGUGGGAACCCCCAACAAAAGGGAUGUUUAAACUUAACACGGAUGGUAGCUGCAUAGAGAACCUUAGAAAAGGAGGAAUAGGGGGGGGGGGCAGGUUAUCAGAUCUAGCUCUGGGGAAUGGAUUGUAGGUUUCUACAAAUCCUUCCAUAAGACUACUAACAACUACAUGGAGCUCAAAGCCCUUGUGGAGGGGCUAAAACUAGUAGAGCAAAGGAACCUGCUACCCAUUGUGAUUAAUACUGACUCUGCUGAGAUUAUCAAUAUGCUUAACACUGGAAACUUACACUAUGAUGCUUUGCUGGAUGAUUGUAGGUCAAGACUAAGAAAGUUAGGGGGACAUGUGAUAUCCCACUGUUUCAGGGAACAAAAUGGUGUGACGAAUCUUAUGGCCAAGCAGAGAAAAGCAUCAACUGACUUUGUAGAUAUCCAGAUUUUUGAAGUUCCACCUUUGUGUGCUGCACAGGAACUUUUUUUGAAAGGAGGGUUAAUGAUCGUAACAUAAACAAUGAAUCCUUCCCUUUUAGUUUCUCUAUUCUGGAUCCUGGCUAAUAUAGCAGGAUGGUUAUGGUGGUGCAUGGAAAACUCUUCCUUUUUUAAUUAAUGCAUAUCUUUUUAAUAAAAAACAUAUUUUGUAGGAGAUCAAUAUAUUGGUGAGUGAAAUUGUGAACGGAGCACGAAAUGGUUGUGCUAAUACACCGCCCGUUAAUCAUCGGAUAAUUACUAAUCCGAACCGAACCAACGGAUAUCUUAUAGGUUGCUAAUGGAUUAGUAUAUUUAAAAGUCGAUAUCUGAUAAGUCGAAUCGUUAAGUAUAUUUAUCCGUUUGAUCAGCCCGAUAAGCAGCCCUACCCCUUACCCCUCUUCACACACAUGCUUUCAUCCCCAUCCUAAUACCCCGCCUCUAAUCAAAUUUAUACAAAAAAAAUAUUAAUAGUAAAAAAAAAUUAUUUCAUAUUUUUUUGUUAUAUUAUUAAUAAUUUAAAUUUAUAACACCUCUCAAUUUCCGUACUUGAUGUACAUUUUUAAAUUAUUUUUUUUAUUACACUCAUAAGCAAUUGAGUUUUCUUAUCUCUUAUCUUAAAAUAUACAAAUUAAAAUAGAUAAUUUUGAUAUGCAUAACAAAAAAUUAAAUAAAGAUUAGAAGAGGACUCCAUAAUAAUCUAAUUUGUUAGAUUUUAUCUCCAUUUAAAACUAGUUACACUUUUUAUCUCAUAUUUAAUUUUAGUUUUUCUAUUUACUCAAAUUCAAAAAAAAUUAUAAAAUUUUUCUAAAAACUAAAAAGAAUUCCAUAAUGUAUGUAACAUUUCUUGAAUAUUAAUUUUAGAGGAAAAAGUAAAAUCAUAAAUUCAUCAAAAUAUAAGAUUUUACUUGUUAUAGUUAAGAAAACACUUUUGAAAAUUUAAUUUAUUUUACAUCAUGUUAAUUAUACCCUAAGAUAUUAUAUUAAAAAUUUACCUUUUAAGCCUAUGAUUUACUGUUGUGUGUGUUCUUUUCUUCUCUAUAUUAUGAAAUUAAAUGACACCCAAAAUCACUAAAAAAAAAAUUUAUAAAUAAAUUAAAUUUGCAAGUAAAAUUUAAAAAGGAAUAAUAAAUUAGACUAUCUAAAUGUCUAUAAAUCUGCUUUGUAAGACUCCUAAUAUAUGUGAAUGUGGUACUUAUUAGAUACAGAAAACAGACAAUCAUAAAUUCCAUACAAUUGAACUAAAUAUUAAAAAAAUAGCUAUUCAUUAAAACAACAUUGAAAAGAAAACAAUAAUAUCAAGCACAUACUUAAAAAAAACUUAAGCUUCCCAAUUAUACCAACAAAACUUCUACUUUUACAAUAAUCUAUUAUUUUCUUCUCUUCAUUCUUCUUCAUCCCUUUUGCAAGUCAACAAUAGCAAUAAAAUUAUUUCUAAAAAUUAGAAUAAACUCUCAAAAACACUUCUUCAUAAAUUAAACAAUAGAAAUGGUAUUAAUUUAAAAUCGAUUUAUCUAUAAGUCUUUUACUUAUUAAAGUCUUUGUUUCUAUUAUUAGUAAAAAAAAUUCUCCUUAUCUUCUUCAAAGUUGUUAUCAUUUAAAAUGUGAGGCGAAUUACCACAAAAAUUAGAUAGAUAUGUCAAGCCAUUCAAAGGAUACUUUUUCAUAAGAUAAAAAUCAGGCUUUAAUUAAGAAGGUAAUGAAUCAGUUAACAUAAUGCAUAUACUUUUAAGAAGAGCUUAAACCAGUGUAAAUCAUUAGGAAGACAAUAUAAUCGAUUUUACCGAUUUACAACUUGAUGAUCAAAUGUUGAUUCAAACAAGAUAAACAUCAAAGAGAUUUUAAACUGAAAUUAUUUAAGUGAAAAAUAUUUCUCAACCAAACUAGCCAAAGAAAAAGCAGUGAAAGACAUCUUGAGUGAAAUCACACAUUUUAACAAAAAGACACAUUUUAAGCAUGUGUUGAGACGUCUGAAUACACAAUAAUUCAACACCAACCUUUCUUACACAAUGAAGAAAUGUCUAAAUACGCAACAAUUCAACACCAAUAUUUUUUAAAUAAUGAAGAAAUUUAGAUGCAACUCUAUAUUAUCUAUCGGGAACAAUAGAAAUAGGAAGGCAUCCACACAGUGCGGGAGAUUUCUGCUUAAGAAAGCACAAGAUUCGACAUUACAAAUUUAACAAUCAUCCUAAAGCUAGCACUUAAGCGAACACUAUAAGAAAUAUGAAAUAGUGGAAUAUUACCUUUUUCUGGGCAGCGAAAUAGGACAACAAGUUCACGACGACUUCACCAACUUGCUUUUGAUUUGAAAAAAGACAAGGAAAAAUAAAACUUGAACCAAAAUUUUCAUAACUCCAGGUUGGGGACAGAAGUCCAAAUCCUAACCAAGUAGAGAAGUUUAGCCCUUUUUCGUUCGAAAAAAAAUCUUUAAACAAUAGAGAGAAGGAUUAAUAUGGAAAUUCAAAAAUCUCAAUUCUUGAGAAAUCGGUGAUGUGGGAUAGAGAAUGUCAAGGGUAUUUUUGAGAAUGUUGAUUGAGUACUUCAAAUUGAGGAUAAGAUUUGUUAAGCAAGUUGGAAUUGUACUGUUUUUGUAUGAAUUUGAAAUUCGAACGUUGGCUGAGCUGGACGGAUUGGGUCGGGUUUUGCUGUUGGAUUGUUGUUGUUUGAAUGUUGGUUUCUGGUGCGGGUUGGUUUUGCCAAAGCUCUUACGGUUGUACGUUUUGGUGUUGUACGACAUUUUUUGUUGUUA